GAAGAUGAGUGGGGGCGACAAAGCAGUCAAGCUGUUAUCGUCAUCAGCGAUCUUAGUAAUGUCUACGGUUUGAUGAGAUGAUAAAUGUAGAACACCAUCGUUUGCACUCUCCGGUUUGCAUGGUUGAUUUUGUAACAAUUCCGAUAGGACACCACAUUUUUCCUUCAUCGCGCAGCUAUCGUUGCAUCUAGCAUACGAAUGUGUGUUUUCUAGCCUGUCUUUGUGAUCAGACUGCAACGCAUGGCGGUGUAGAAAUCCGUUUUGCUCUCCUCACGAUGUAAAUAAGCUAACAUAGUUUCUGUCUCUCUCACACACACAGAGGUGGCGCGGUAAUUUUGUUCUGUUAAUAUUCAUGGUGGAGUUAGGUCUCAACCCCUAUUCAUACCCCUAUCCAACCUCCCAGCUCGUGUUCCUUGUUGACCCGACCGGCCUCUGACCUAUUUCUUGUUACAUCCUGGUAUACAGGUGGAGAGGUGCAGCGAGCGAGUUGGACAAGAUUUCACGGGGAAACCAGAUGUAUAUAUAUAGAGUGUGUUAACCUAGUGGCACUUAUGCUUAAAUGAUCAACCAGGUUAGGAUUGUGAGAGUAGGUCCUGAGGCUUUUACGUUUCUUAUCCUCCUAGAAGCGUACAAAAACCAAAAACAGUUCGGUAUCCAUCUCUAAAAAAGUAAUCAACAACACGCUGAUUUACUUCCGGCAAGAGACACAAAAAGGACUUUCCAAUCCGGGACGUGUUUUGUUUUAUUGCACAUGCAGCUGAAGUGGAUUACAGACAAUUGUCUCCCUGGCUGUUUCCUCUUGUUAAAAACGUGUGGCACUCUCUUUAGAACUGAAAACAAGGAGGUUUGAUGUAACAAAGAGCCAGCCAUGUAGCCUUGACAUGUGAUGCCAGGUAUGCUGCAGACUUCUGUUGGCACAUGAACACGUCUUCAAGACAGUGAAGUAGUUUCAGCACAGAGGAUAUCCUUGCAGUGUUCUGGAAUUUUCCUCUUGAUACUGGAAUCGUUAUCCGACAAAGUUUUAGCGACAGAAGGACUCGUUUGAGACUAGUUUCAACAGUUACACCAACGAGUUUUAGACCUCUCUAGAUGCGUAAUAGCAGGAGGUAACAAGAUGGCGGAAGUGAAAUUCCUGUACUGAGACAUAAAUGGACAAGAAGCGGCUAUUUUAAAGCUCUCUUGGCAUCCUUUUUAUAAAGUUGUUUCAUCGACUGCUGGAUACACCUUCA